CCUACGGGAGGCUGCAGUGGGGAAUAUUGCGCAAUGGGCGAAAGCCUGACGCAGCGACGCCGCGUGAGGGAUGAAGGUCUUCGGAUCGUAAACCUCUGUCAGCAGGGAAGAACGGUCACUGUGCUAAUCAGCAGUGAAUUGACGGUACCUGCAAAGGAAGCACCGGCUAACUCCGUGCCAGCAGCCGCGGUAAUACGGAGGGUGCGAGCGUUAAUCGGAAUUACUGGGCGUAAAGGGCUCGUAGGCGGUAUGUCAAGUCAAGGGUGAAAUCUCCGCGCUCAACGUGGGAACAGCCUUUGAAACUGGCAAACUGGAGGGUGUGAGAGGAUAGUGGAAUUCCAGGUGUAGGAGUG
rnacentral:rRNA from 1 species